AAUCAACGCUGGCGGCGUGCCUCAGACAUGCAAGUCGAACGCGAAAGUCCCCUUCGGGGGACAAGUAGAGUGGCGCACGGGUGAGUAACACGUAGGUAAUCUACCUUUGGAUGGGGAAUAACAACCGGAAACGGUUGCUAAUACCGCAUAAUGCAGCGGCACCUAAUGGUGACAGUUGCUAAAGCGGGGGGAUCGAAAGACCUCGCGUCUGAAGAGGAGCCUGCGGCGGAUUAGCAGUUGGUAAGGUAAUGGCUUACCAAGGCUACGAUCCGUAACCGGCCUGAGAGGGCGGUCGUCACACUGACACUGACAUACGGGUCAGACUCCUACGGGA
rnacentral:rRNA from 1 species